GCCAGACUCCUACGGGAGGCAGCAGUGGGGAAUAUUGCACAAUGGGGGAAACCCUGAUGCAGCGACGCCGCGUGAGCGAUGAAGUAUUUCGGUAUGUAAAGCUCUCUCAGCAGGGAAGAAAAUGACGGUACCUGACUAAGAAGCCCCGGCUAACUACGUGCCAGCAGCCGCGGUAAUACGUAGGGGGCAAGCGUUAUCCGGAUUUACUGGGUGUAAAGGGAGCGUAGACGGCUGUGCAAGCCAGAUGUGAAAGCCCGGGGCUCAACCCCGGGACUGCAUUUGGAACUGCAUGGCUGGAGUGCGGGAGGGGCAGGCGGAAUUCCUGGUGUAGCGGUGAAAUGCGUAGAUAUCAGGAGGAACACCGGCGGCGAAGGCGGCCUGCUGGACCGCGACUGACGUUGAGGCCCGAAAGCGUGGGGAGCAAACAGGAUUAGAUACCCCAGUAC
rnacentral:rRNA from 1 species